rnacentral:rRNA from 1 species
AACGAACGCUGGCGGCAUGCCUAACACAUGCAAGUCGAACGAGACCUUCGGGUCUAGUUGCGCACGGGUGCGUAACGCGUGGGAACCUGCCCUUAGGUUCGGAAUAACUCCCCUAAAGGGGUGCUAAUACCGGAGAAUGUAUUCGGACCAAAGAUUUAUCGCCUUUGGAUGGGCCCGGGUUGGAUUAGCUGGUUGGUAGGGUAAAAGCCUACCAAGGCGACGAUCCUGAGCUGGUCUGGGAGGAUGCUCAGCCACACUGGGACUGAGACACGGACCAGUCUGCUACGGGACGCAGGAGUAGAGAAUAUUAUACACUGGGCGCUAAUGUAGUCCCGCCGCGCGGCGUGUGAGGUCAAUCGCUUUGUAUUGUGAAGUUCUCUUACACGAAAUGAUAAUGACAGUAACGGGUAAAUAAGCUCCGGCUAACUACGUG